AGGAGCAUGAGGAGCGUGAGAACUACUUUAUACAUUCUCUUCGGCAUGUGCACUCUACGAACAGAGCUGGUCUUACAUACAGUCUCAGUAUCAAUGACUUUUCUGAUUGGUCAAACGCAGAGAGGGCCAGGUUGAGAGGAGGUAUACUGAUUCCAGAUCGGGAAAAGGAUACAGAAUAGGAGUUUGUCAUGCAAAUGUAACGGGGGGAAAAAUAAUAAAUUUUCUUAAAGUCUGCAUAAAACAGAAGUUGAAAUCAUCUUUUCUUCCCUAUUCCCAACUAUUUUGGUUGGGACUUGAUUUUGUCCAUCGGAAAUUGAUUGGAUCAUUGGAUUGUUGUUAUUUGCUAGUGCUAUGAUCACACGUUACUGGUUGCAGUAGACAAAAACUCAAUAAAACCGUUUUGAAAUCUGUGAGUUGUGAAAAUUGAUGUGAUUUAGAACAGUAAAAUUGGACAUUCAUUAUUACAACAACAUGUCACACAUUUAAGCUGGAAAAAACAGAUGUAGCCUAAUCAAAGCAAAAUAAUUAUAUUGUGAAUAAUAAACCCAAAUACCUGAAAUCUGAAUUAAAAAUUAUGUCAAU